CACUAGACCAAGUUGCCCAAAGCCCCAUCCAACCUGGCCUUGAACACUUCCAGGGAUGGGGUACCCAGCUUCUCUGGCCAAUCUGUGCCUAAAACAGACACUGAUCUAGCAGAAAGUAAUGCAAAUCUGCUGAUUCCAUAAACCUGAGAUUUCAUCUAAAAGAAUGCAACACAGGGGCUCAACUGAAACACCAAGUAACCACUGCCCCAGACCACCCACUCCAGCUUUCCUUACAGGCUUCCACGGAAGACUUGCUCUGCCAAGUUCAGGGAAAGACAAAAGAAACCAUUACAGAAGUGGAGUGAGCUCCUGCCUAUAGAGUGUCUGUCUUUGGCUGCAGUAUGUGGACAAGACAAAGGCUCCUGAAGUGUUUGUUUUAUCCAGACUGACUUGGAAGGAGGAAAUUGUAACCACAGCCAUUCAUUUAUAUUUUAAAAAAAUACCCUAUUGAAGCAUAAUCAUCUUCAUCAGAACUUGAAUGACCAUACCACUCACAGGUUUUAUGUUCUUAAACUACACAAAAAUUACCAUGUUUCUACCUGCUUUCAACACAGGACAUGAGGAGAAGAAAGAAUUCAGAUAUUAUACCAUUUCUAGAGCCAAAGUAAAACUUUGGCUUUCACAAAUAAGCAUUUCUGCAAAAUGAGUUGAGAUGCAUCUCACAGGAAAGACUUAAGAGCACUUUCAAGUUGGAAAGCAGAUUAUCACCAACUAUAAAACUAAGUUUGAGCUCAGUAAAUAACAAUUUACGCUGCACAAACAGAACUUGAGUUACUACACACAAAGGGCAUUUCUGACCGCUUCCCACAUUCAGCCUGUGGCUGUCAAUAUGCUGCCUGGAGCUAAUGGAUUUUCCCUGCUGCCAGCAAGCGACCUCACAGCACCAAGCCUGCUUGUGUACUCAGCACAGCAAUUUGGUUCCAAGGUAAAAUGCUCAACUUCAGGGACACCUUGCCCACACCAGUGGUUUUGUGCAUCUUGUGACCAAAUUACUUUUUAACUCUUAUUUAUAACACUGUAAUAUUUCCUCCUUCUUGAAAGAAUGAUUUACAAUUAAUCUGUGUCUUGCAGACUCCAGAAAAUCCAUGUCACAAAAAAAACUGAGCUAAGGAAUAGAUGCUCUAGUGCCUAAGACAAGGCAGGAAUUCACGCUGCAUUCUUCCCAACCCUGAAAGGAAUCAAUAGCAUCCCCUCCUAUCUGCACCUACCUCUUUUCAUAAAACUCAGAGGAAAUUCACUAUCAAAGAGCUAUCCUCACAACUUCAGCUGACUUUGGCUGAUGAGCUCAGAAGUUUGGGGACCAAUUUAACUAGACAGUGACCAAAUGUAAUCCUUCUCAGCAAAAACCAGGCUAAAAAGGAAUCCUAAGGGAUUAUCACUACUUACUUUCCUUAUGGUCUUCCUUUUUGGGGCCCGAUACCAGCUUUGCCAACUGCCUACAUUAAGAAAGAGGACAGAGGAAAGGGGAACAGAAUUGCUGAAUUAGAAGUAUUGUACACAAGUGUUGUAUCACAUUGCAUUGUACAUUUCUCACUUUAGACUGGGGAACUUCACUGGGUUUAUAACUCAGUGCUCCACAUCAUGCAAAGAAAAGCAUGUGGACCUCAAGGAGGAUUCAGACCCCAAGUCUGUUGUGUACCAUAUGCACACAGUUCUUGAAGGACAGAUUCUUCCUAACCUGGUAAUCUUGAUGUCUCAAUAGGGCAAUAAUAUCUCAGUAACCAGUUCAGAUAACUACAUUCUUCCUUCUUUUCCUAGGAAUGUUCGGUUUUUUAUCCUCCCAGGAUAUUCCGGUGGAAGAACAUGAAAAUGUAGUUCAAGGAUGACAGAAAAAUUGGUCAGAAAAUGAGAGAGUGAUCUUUGUGGCUAAGUCUCCUACUAGAAAGAAGAGUGUCAUGCCUCCUGAACAUUCUGACCUAAGAGAGGAGGGUGAAAUGCUGGAUUGACAAAGAGCUGGAACUUCUGAAGACGGAGGUUCAAAUUAUUCAUGGCUACACCGUAUGACUCAUGCACAAUGUUCUCUGGUGGAUGAGCAACCACGAGUACGUGAUGGGAGAGCAAUGAAAAUUUACACACAGGGAGCAUUUGUGGAUUACUCUGAGCUCAGACGAGUGUUGCAUUCUAUUGCUGUGGUAACUGAGCACAUCAGUGUACCUCACAUGGCAAAACUGUAUUCUGUUCUUAGCCAUCAGGAAGAUGAUGAUAAAACCUAAUUAAUGAAGCUUAAACCAAAAAAUAUCUCCUAUUCAGCGUGACUGUGUGAGCCGGUCAGGAGCUGCUCUACUACAUGAAGACAGAGAUUUUAACAAGUACUUAUUCACAGUGCAGAAAAGAACAGUUCCAGCUUUCAAUUGUGGCUCUUCAGGAACUGUCUUCUUUCUCAUUGUUGAAAGUACCAUUGAUAGAGAUCCACAGUCCUCUGACAUAGAUUCCUGCAGUCUCUCUAGCCUACUCUCUAUUUUGGGUGCUUAAGGACACAUUUGAAGCUAGUGGUCUAGAAAGAUCUUGUGAUGGCAUAAGCCUAAACAUAUAUUGCCUAAAUAUUACUAACAAUUGUAUGUAUGUACAGGUUCUCGAUCCUUUUGAUGAAGAAGUAAACAGGGUUCUCAAGCUGUAUUCAUGCUGACUCCUGAUUUGUCUUUUCUUUUUUUUUUGGUCAAGCAAUAAAGAAAGAAAUUGCAGCCCACAGUUGUCUGAGAUACUCGACUUGACAUACGCAAAUGAUGUACAGCUCCCACAUAGAUAAAUUAUCUUUAACAUAUCUCAGUAAUUGUAGCAGCCAUAGAAAAAAAGAACAGAAGAAAGAAACUUCUUUCAGUACAUCAACUGAAACCAGGCAUAAUGCAACGCUGAGCCAGCAACAGUUGGUGAAAACAACUAUAAGCCAGAUUACAACAAAGAGGAGAAAUAGGACAUUUCUUAUAUGGCACCCACUUCCAUCAAGAAAUAAAAGGAGAAAAUACUAAUGAAAGCAGACUACCUUGUUUGACAAGUAUUUAAUGCUUCCAUUCACAACAUUGUCCCUAAAGGAAGAAUCAGGCAUGGCCAUCUGAGGGAGAGCUGUUCCCUGAAGGAUAUGAAGGAGACACAGAUUGCCUAUUUAAGCAGCCUCCUGUCAUUUGCAACUCGAAAUGCUGCUUUACUUUCUGAGGUCACUCAAAACUCUUUUUGUGACUGAAGUCACAACCUGAAUUUAUUUAUUCCAUAUCCUGUUUACUAAUUCACCGAUAAGUCCUCCUUACCAUGCUAACCAAUCACUGCAUCACAUGGUUUCUUUCUACACAAGAACAAAUCAGCUCAUCCAUUGAUGCCUUUGUGAACACAUUGUCAAGAUUUGUUCCACUUCAACACCAAAGCAAAGCACUGGCCUUGUGGCCUAGAAGGAAGAUAUUACUGUAGCAACUUGAGGUGCUGGUGAUACUGCAUGGUUUCCCUUCUCUUCCUCUUUACUGUACUGCACUCCUGCCAAAAGUUAACUUUACAGGAGAGUGAUUCCUUUUGAGAAGACAGACAGGGCUGCCUCAAUUAUCCUGACUCAUCACGUUUGGAACAAAACAAGGACCAACUGCAGAAAGAGACAUUUGUAACGCUUGCUCCAGAACACAAAAUAAACAGAGCGAGCGCGCAGCUGGCCUGGUGGCAGCUACAGAGCCUAAGCCUUUGCUUGUCGUUUGGCAGGAAGAGCUGCAGUGCCUGCAUAGGAAUGAAACAUUUUCUUUUCACCAGAUCUCUUUGCCACAUUCAAGAACACCAAUAAGAUACAGCAGCUGACUGGAAAAGAGGACAGAGCCUGUUAGGAUUUCACGUUAAGAAAAUAGCCAUUAUACUCCCAAUCCAGUACAUACAUUCUUCUAGGUUCGUAUCACCUCGAUUACUGCACUUCCAGUAAUACAGAAACCAGGAUCCUGAGCUGAACAAAUUCAAAAAGAAAUUUCUUAAUUGGGAAUAAGAAACUGAAAAAUUAACCGAGAUCUGUAUCACAAACCAACUUCAAACAAGUAAAACAAAACCACCAAAGAUUUCUACCAUGCUGAAAGUUUGUGAUUAAAAAAGCCACAAAUCUUGCUCUCAGAAGUUCAUUAUGUAGCAUUGUACACUGAAAUACAGGAUGUUGUUAUGCAGCCAAGCAUCUGGGGAGAUUAACCGUGAUUAAAAAAAAAUCUCUGGGAAAAGCAGUUAUUUAAUAGAACAAGGAUGACGGCAAAACAAGCUACCGGAUUUGUGCAAUUGAAUCAAGCUGGAUGUUAGGAACCAUUAUGUUACCAUAAAACAAAUCAAACAGAAAUAUUUACCUUGAUCCUAAGAGAUGCUGAGUACAAAGCUCCCAGCAGUUUCCCACCACAAAAACAGAGCAGUACCUUACAGACAGGGCGGUGUAAAACGACCUGAAGCGUUCAGGAAUACGUUUCUUCAUAGUACCGAAGAAAAGGAAUUCGGGGAAGCCACGUAGGAGGGUGUCCUGAGAGACAUGGUAAAUACCGAGCAAAGGGGAUGUUGAACCCAUGUUGCAAUGACAGCUGUGGGCAACAACAGAGAGACUAAAGGCCAAGAGGAAGACACAGCCAAGCCCAGAGCAGAGAGAAAAAGCCAGAGACAAAAACUGUAUAGGGUUCUAUUCCUAUGUUGUAAAGCUAUCCUCCCACUACCUACAGUCACAUCAAUGCUCAAUCUCAACACACAGUUAAACUCUGCACUACAGCUGUAUUUCACCAUUCUGAAAUGCUACAUAAAUACUACAUAAUUAAAACAGCUAAAGCUUUUCCUGACAGUUUUCUUGCAUUCAAAUAUACAUGCUCUUUCUUCCAAGUAUGAAGCAUCAUCACUACUUGGAAGAAGCCUGCUCCUUGUACUGAAUAGAACUGCUUAGCUGAUUUACAGGGCAUUUACUGUAACUGCUCCUGGGCAUAAAGCAAGCAGUUUUUGUUUGUUGGCUUGGUUAUUGGAGGGUUUUUUUUGCUUUUUUCAGUGAAGAGUGACAACUGUCAGAAGUAUCCAUUAGCACAGAAUUUGUCCAAGAAAAAUUCUGUCAUAUUGCUGUUAUUACAGGAAAGACAAGAAAAGUAAUCUCCAACAAGGACAUAUGACUUGGCAGACGUGAAACAGAGAUAUCAGCCUCAAAUUCCAAGAACAAACUUAACUACUGCCAGCAAGCUGACAGCUACAGUUCAUGUGCAUCUGCUGUUUCCCAGAACUGCACUUUGCAGAAGCGUGAAGUUAGACACUUCACAAUUCUAUCAAGUUGAGACAUUAAAGAAAAAAACUCAUAUUAAAACCCAUAUUAAAAAAAACAAACAAAACAAACUUUAAUAUGUUUUUUUCCAAGACCUAAUAUACAAAUGCAACGGUAAUAAUGUACUCUUCUUUUGUAAGCUUGGAUGAAAUAUAUUGAAGUCCACUUUUUGCAUGUUAUGUAAAAAAUCAUCUAAAGCAACCUAAAAAAGAAGAAAAAAAGCUUAAUCCAUA